rnacentral:rRNA from 1 species
GGCCCGCACAAGCGGAGGAACAUGUGGUUUAAUUCGAUGAUACGCGAGGAACCUUACCCGGGCUUGAACUGCCAGAGAACGAUACAGAGAUGUUGAGGCCCUUCGGGGCUCUGGUGGAGGUGCUGCAUGGUUGUCGUCAGCUCGUGCCGUGAGGUGUCGGCUUAAGUGCCAUAACGAGCGCAACCCCUCUCUUCAGUUGCCAUCAGGUCGAGCUGGGCACUCUGGAGACACUGCCACCGCAAGGUGUGAGGAAGGUGGGGAUGACGUCAAAUCAGCACGGCCCUUACGUCCGGGGCUACACACGUGUUACAAUGGGUGAUACAGAGCGUCGGCUUGCCGCAAGGAGAGUCUAAUCGCGAAAGUCAUCCUCAGUUCGGACUGGGGUCUGCAACCCGACCCCACGAAGCUGGAUUCGCUAGUAAUCGCGCAUCAGCCAUGGCGCGGUGAAUACGUUCCCGGGC